CGGGACACGUGGUAUCCUGUCUGAAUAUGGGGGGACCAUCCUCCAAGGCUAAAUACUCCUGACUGACCGAUAGUGAACCAGUACCGUGAGGGAAAGGCGAAAAGAACCCCGGCGAGGGGAGUGAAAAAGAACCUGAAACCGUGUACGUACAAGCAGUGGGAGCCUCUUUAUGGGGUGACUGCGUACCUUUUGUAUAAUGGGUCAGCGACUUAUAUUCUGUAGCAAGGUUAACCGAAUAGGGGAGCCGAAGGGAAACCGAGUCUUAACUGGGCGUUAAGUUGCAGGGUAUAGACCCGAAACCCGGUGAUCUAGCCAUGGGCAGGUUGAAGGUUGGGUAACACUAACUGGAGGACCGAACCGACUAAUGUUGAAAAAUUAGCGGAUGACUUGUGGCUGGGGGUGAAAGGCCAAUCAAACCGGGAGAUAGCUGGUUCUCCCCGAAAGCUAUUUAGGUAGCGCCUCGUGAAUUCAUCUCCGGGGGUAGAGCACUGUUUCGGCAAGGGGGUCAUCCCGACUUACCAACCCGAUGCAAACUGCGAAUACCGGAGAAUGUUAUCACGGGAGACACACGGCGGGUGCUAACGUCCGUCGUGAAGAGGGAAACAACCCAGACCGCCAGCUAAGGUCCCAAAGUCAUGGUUAAGUGGGAAACGAUGUGGGAAGGCCCAGACAGCCAGGAUGUUGGCUUAGAAGCAGCCAUCAUUUAAAGAAAGCGUAAUAGCUCACUGGUCGAGUCGGCCUGCGCGGAAGAUGUAACGGGGCUAAACCAUGCACCGAAGCUGCGGCAGCGACGCUUAUGCGUUGUUGGGUAGGGGAGCGUUCUGUAAGCCUGCGAAGGUGUGCUGUGAGGCAUGCUGGAGGUAUCAGAAGUGCGAAUGCUGACAUAAGUAACGAUAAAGCGGGUGAAAAGCCCGCUCGCCGGAAGACCAAGGGUUCCUGUCCAACGUUAAUCGGGGCAGGGUGAGUCGACCCCUAAGGCGAGGCCGAAAGGCGUAGUCGAUGGGAAACAGGUUAAUAUUCCUGUACUUGGUGUUACUGCGAAGGGGGGACGGAGAAGGCUAUGUUGGCCGGGCGACGGUUGUCCCGGUUUAAGCGUGUAGGCUGGUUUUCCAGGCAAAUCCGGAAAAUCAAGGCUGAGGCGUGAUGACGAGGCACUACGGUGCUGAAGCAACAAAUGCCCUGCUUCCAGGAAAAGCCUCUAAGCAUCAGGUAACAUCAAAUCGUACCCCAAACCGACACAGGUGGUCAGGUAGAGAAUACCAAGGCGCUUGAGAGAACUCGGGUGAAGGAACUAGGCAAAAUGGUGCCGUAACUUCGGGAGAAGGCACGCUGAUAUGUAGGUGAAGCGACUUGCUCGUGGAGCUGAAAUCAGUCGAAGAUACCAGCUGGCUGCAACUGUUUAUUAAAAACACAGCACUGUGCAAACACGAAAGUGGACGUAUACGGUGUGACGCCUGCCCGGUGCCGGAAGGUUAAUUGAUGGGGUUAGCGGUAACGCGAAGCUCUUGAUCGAAGCCCCGGUAAACGGCGGCCGUAACUAUAACGGUCCUAAGGUAGCGAAAUUCCUUGUCGGGUAAGUUCCGACCUGCACGAAUGGCGUAAUGAUGGCCAGGCUGUCUCCACCCGAGACUCAGUGAAAUUGAACUCGCUGUGAAGAUGCAGUGUACCCGCGGCAAGACGGAAAGACCCCGUGAACCUUUACUAUAGCUUGACACUGAACAUUGAGCCUUGAUGUGUAGGAUAGGUGGGAGGCUUUGAAGUGUGGACGCCAGUCUGCAUGGAGCCGGCCUUGAAAUACCACCCUUUAAUGUUUGAUGUUCUAACGUUGGCCCCUGAUCGGGGUUGCGGACAGUGUCUGGUGGGUAGUUUGACUGGGGCGGUCUCCUCCUAAAGAGUAACGGAGGAGCACGAAGGUUGGCUAAUCCUGGUCGGACAUCAGGAGGUUAGUGCAAUGGCAUAAGCCAGCUUGACUGCGAGCGUGACGGCGCGAGCAGGUGCGAAAGCAGGUCAUAGUGAUCCGGUGGUUCUGAAUGGAAGGGCCAUCGCUCAACGGAUAAAAGGUACUCCGGGGAUAACAGGCUGAUACCGCCCAAGAGUUCAUAUCGACGGCGGUGUUUGGCACCUCGAUGUCGGCUCAUCACAUCCUGGGGCUGAAGUAGGUCCCAAGGGUAUGGCUGUUCGCCAUUUAAAGUGGUACGCGAGCUGGGUUUAGAACGUCGUGAGACAGUUCGGUCCCUAUCUGCCGUGGGCGCUGGAGAACUGAGGGGGGCUGCUCCUAGUACGAGAGGACCGGAGUGGACGCAUCACUGGUGUUCGGGUUGUCAUGCCAAUGGCACUGCCCGGUAGCUAAAUGCGGAAGAGAUAAGUGCUGAAAGCAUCUAAGCACGAAACUUGCCCCGAGAUGAGUUCUCCCUGAGACUUUAAGUCUCCUGAAGGAACGUUGAAGACGACGACGUUGAUAGGCCGGGUGUGUAAGCGCAGCGAUGCGUUGAGCUAACCGGUACUAAUGAACCGUGAGG
rnacentral:rRNA from 1 species